rnacentral:tRNA from 1 species
GCGGGUAUCGUAUAAUGGUAAUACCACAGCUUUCCAAGCUGUUGCCGGGAGUUCGAUUCUCCCUACCCGCUCCA